CCAACCUUGACUUCGGCGUGUAGUAAAUAAACUGUACAACGAGGACUCGACGAUUUCUCUCGAAGCUCUAUGUUUUUGUCCCCUCUCCGUCUGUACGAGAUUACUAUCUCUCUCUCUCUUCGAGCCGACAACAGUUUUCCCUCUUUCCUUCUUUCAAUGUUUACUUGAGUCGAUGGGAUCCCAUGUAAACAAUGAACAGCCCGAGAUAAGGAGAAAAGAGAGAGAACGCUGCACUAUUCUUUCAGAAAAACUUCCUUUUCUCGUACCAGGAAAAUUUCAGCGGGGAGACUUUAGAAUUCCUUUUUUCACGAAGAAAUAUGGGUUGUCUUCCGAUUAGCGAUUCGUUCUCGUCUGAAUCACAAUUGUCGCCGAGACACGUCAACAAUACACAGUGACGCGAUGUAUGUGUAUAUAUAUAUAUAUAUAAUAUAUAUAUAUAUGUGUGUAUUAUACAAAGCACGACGGAGAAUCCGCGUACAGGCGCGUCCGUGCGUAAUCGGACGGGUAUGAUUCACACUGGGCAAAUACGCGGGGCGGCGCGUUAUAUCCUCUCCUCGUUCGCUUUCUCGAAACGUCGUCGGCGGAACGCGGCACGACGAGGAGUCGCGCGCGUCGAAGCGCGGCUGGCUGUUGAAUGAACUGCCCCGCGCGCGAGUACGAGCGUGCGGCUAAUCUACGCGCAUAAACAAACGCACACCAGCGCGCCGCGCAGUAGCAGCUGUACGUAUACACACGCACAGAGCUCUCCUCUCCACUACCCGCUACACAGCGCUACACCAGCCGCACAUUGUUUUGCUUCCAGGCCGAUCGAACGUACACAGUGUCUGCACUCGACUCUGUUUCUUUCUCUUUCUUACGCUCGCUCGCUCGAUCGCUCGCUCUCCGAGGAUCAGUGCGGCGGGUUGCACAAUGCGCGUAUACGCUCGUUACACGCACCUACUCAGCUCCGAUGAGGUAACGCACUGAGCGGGUGGGGGAGAAAGAGGAGGAACGGAACACGAAGCGUGGCGAUUUUGAACGAAAUUUGAGACAAAGAGGAGGACGGGGAGCGAAGAGAAAGACGAAAGGGCAACACGUCGAUGAGGAAACAGGAGAGGAAGGGAGAAGGGAGGGAAGAAAGGAGGGAGGAGAACAUCGAUGCGCACGGAUCAAGGUUACACUCGGACACCUCCUCUACGUCAUCCCUUGUCGUGUUUAUACGCGCGUGCGCUCAGCGCGCACGCACACA